AUUGAACGCUGGCGGCAUGCCUUACACAUGCAAGUCGAGCGGUAACAGGUCUUCGGAUGCUGACGAGUGGCGAACGGGUGAGUAAUAUAUCGGAACGUGCCCAGUCGUGGGGGAUAACGCAGCGAAAGCUGUGCUAAUACCGCAUACGAUCUAUGGAUGAAAGCGGGGGAUCGCAAGACCUCGCGCGAUUGGAGCGGCCGAUAUCAGAUUAGGUAGUUGGUGGGGUAAAGGCCCACCAAGCCAACGAUCUGUAGCUGGUCUGAGAGGACGACCAGCCACACUGGAACUGAGACACGGUCCAGACUCCUACGGGAGGCAGCAGUGGGGAAUUUUGGACAAUGGGCGCAAGCCUGAUCCAGCAAUGCCGCGUGCAGGAUGAAGGCCUUCGGGUUGUAAACUGCUUUUGUACGGAACGAAAAGGCUCUGGUUAAUACCUGGGGCUCAUGACGGUACCGUAAGAAUAAGCACCGGCUAACUACGUG
rnacentral:rRNA from 1 species